rnacentral:rRNA from 1 species
GAUGAACGCUAGCGGGAGGCCUAACACAUGCAAGCCGAGCGGUAGAGAUUCUUCGGAAUCUUGAGAGCGGCGUACGGGUGCGGAACACGUGUGCAACCUACCUUUAUCUGGAGGAUAGCCUUUCGAAAGGAAGAUUAAUACUCCAUAAUAUAUUGAUUGGCAUCAAUUGAUAUUGAAAGCUCCGGCGGAUAGAGAUGGGCACGCGCAAGAUUAGUUAGUUGGUGAGGUAACGGCUCACCAAGACGAUGAUCUUUAGGGGCCUGAGAGGGUGAUCCCCACACUGGUACUGAGACACGGACCAGACUCCUACGGGAGGCAGCAGUGAGGAAUAUUGGUCAAUGGGUGCAAGCCUGAACCAGCCAUCCCGCGUGAAGGACGACUGCCCUAUGGGUUGUAAACUUCUUUUGUAUAGGGAUAAACCUACCCUCGUGAGGGUAGCUGAAGGUACUAUACGAAUAAGCACCGGCUAACUCCGUGCCAGCAGCCG